rnacentral:rRNA from 1 species
GACAGAGGUCCCGAGCGUUAGGCGGAAUUACUGGGCGUAAAGCGCGUGUAGGCAGCUCGGAAAGUCGGGUGUGAAAGCCCUGGGCUUAACCUAGGAAGUGCACUCGAAACUUCCGAGCUUGAGUUCUGGAGAGGAAGGCGGAAUUCUCGGUGUAGAGGUGAAAUUCGUAGAUAUCGAGAGGAACACCGGUGGCGAAGGCGGCCUUCUGGACAGUGACUGACGCUGAGACGCGAAAGCUAGGGGAGCAAACGGG